rnacentral:rRNA from 1 species
UUGGGCCUACGGGGGGCGCAGCAGUGGGGAAUAUUGGGCAAUGGGCGCAAGCCUGACCCAGCAACGCCGCGUGAAGGAAGAAGGCCCUCGGGUUGUAAACUUCUUUUAUUCGGGACGAAACAAAUGACGGUACCGAAUGAAUUAGCCACGGCUAACUACGUGCCAGCAGCCGCGGUAAUACGUAGGUGGCAAGCGUUAUCCGGAUUUACUGGGUGUAAAGGGCGUGUAGGCGGGAAAGCAAGUCAGAUGUGAAAAACAUGGGCUC